GUGCUCACUUCAGCAGCACAUAUACUAAAGUUGUAAUGAUAGAGAGGAGAUUAGCAUGGCCUCUGCACGAGGACAACACACGACUUCAUGAGACAAUCCAUAUUUCU